rnacentral:tRNA from 1 species
CAUUAGAUGGCUGAAAGUAAGCAAUGAAAUUUUAAAUCAUUAAAUGAUAUAGUUACAAAUAUCUCUAGUG